rnacentral:rRNA from 1 species
UACGUAGGGUGCAAGCGUUAAUCGGAAUUACUGGGCGUAAAGCGUGCGCAGGCGGUUUUGUAAGUCUGACGUGAAAUCCCCGGGCUCAACCUGGGAAUUGCGUUGGAGACUGCAAGGCUAGAAUCUGGCAGAGGGGGGUAGAAUUCCACGUGUAGCAGUGAAAUGCGUAGAGAUGUGGAGGAACACCGAUGGCGAAGGCAGCCCCCUGGGUCAAGAUUGACGCUCAUGCACGAACGCGUGGGGAGCAAACAGG